GACAUGUGCCCGAAAGAUAAGGACUACCUUGAUAGGGUAACUAACAGAGGUUCAAACCCUCUCAU
rnacentral:tRNA from 1 species